CCUCGAAGCUCUUGUGGCAGGAAGUGGGAGGGCGACCCUAGGAGUCGAUCCUUCCUGCUGACCUCGUCCCAGGACCUGGAAGGGGCCUCAGACGGCCCCCUGGACCCCACUCUACAGGCAUCUUCCCACGCGGCUUCUCGGGCUUCCUCACGCGCCGGGGGCUCAUCCCAGCCCGGGCUGCCAGGCGGAGAAGGCAGCCGCUUCCAGUGCUCUCGAGGGCCUGACUCCGAAGGCCCACACAUUUCUUCUGCAUGGCGUGCCAAGUGGUGCCAUGUCCGCAUCCAGGAUCCGAACCUGCGAACCGGGGCCGAGAGAGAAGCUCAACGUGGGAACCUAACCACUGCGCCACCUGCGGGCUACCCACCAACGUUGUUUAUACUUGAGCACCUACCUGCCUUUGAAUAUGUUUUAAAAUAAAAUAGAUUAGACAAAUCAGAAAAA
ensembl:lncRNA